rnacentral:rRNA from 1 species
UGUUUGAUGUUCUAACGUUGACCCGUAAUCCGGGUUGCGGACAGUGUCUGGUGGGUAGUUUGACUGGGGCGGUCUCCUCCUAAAGAGUAACGGAGGAGCACGAAGGUUGGCUAAUCCUGGUCGGACAUCAGGAGGUUAGUGCAAUGGCAUAAGCCAGCUUGACUGCGAGCGUGACGGCGCGAGCAGGUGCGAAAGCAGGUCAUAGUGAUCCGGUGGUUCUGAAUGGAAGGGCCAUCGCUCAACGGAUAAAAGGUACUCCGGGGAUAACAGGCUGAUACCGCCCAAGAGUUCAUAUCGACGGCGGUGUUUGGCACCUCGAUGUCGGCUCAUCACAUCCUGGGGCUGAAGUAGGUCCCAAGGGUAUGGCUGUUCGCCAUUUAAAGUGGUACGCGAGCUGGGUUUAGAACGUCGUGAGACAGUUCGGUCCCUAUCUGCCGUGGGCGCUGGAGAACUGAGGGGGGCUGCUCCUAGUACGAGAGGACCGGAGUGGACGCAUCACUGGUGUUCGGGUUGUCAUGCCAAUGGCACUGCCCGGUAGCUAAAUGCGGAAGAGAUAAGUGCUGAAAGCAUCUAAGCACGAAACUUGCCCCGAGAUGAGUUCUCCCUGACUCCUUGAGAGUCCUGAAGGAACGUUGAAGACGACGACGUUGAUAGGCCGGGUGUGUAAGCGCAGCGAUGCGUUGAGCUAA